UAGCUCAGUUGGAAGAGCAUGGUGUUUGCAACGCCAGGGUUGUGGGUUUGUUUCCCAC
rnacentral:tRNA from 1 species